rnacentral:rRNA from 1 species
ACGGCGAGUGAAGCGGUACAGCUCAAAUUUGAAAUCUGGCCUCACGGUCCGAGUUGUAAUUUGUAGAGGAUGCUUCGAGCAUGGUCUGGCCUAAGUUCCUUGGAACAGGACGUCAUAGAGGGUGAGAAUCCCGUAUGCGGCCAGGUGCCUACGCUCAUGUGAAGCUCCUUCGACGAGUCGAGUUGUUUGGGAAUGCAGCUCAAAAUGGGUGGUAAAUUUCAUCUAAAGCUAAAUAUUGGCAGAGACCGAUAGCGCACAAGUAGAGUGAUCGAAAGAUGAAAAGCACUUUGGAAAGAGAGUUAAACAGUACGUGAAAUUGUUGAAAGGGAAGCGCUUGCAACCAGACUUGCGCGCGGCCGAUCAUCCGGUGUUCUCACCGGUGCACUCGGCCGUGCUCAGGCCAGCAUCGGUUUUGGCGGCUGGAUAAAGGCCCUAGGAAUGUAGCUCCUCUCGGGGAGUGUUAUAGCCUAGGGUGCAAUGCAGCCUGCUGGGACCGAGGACCGCGCUUCGGCUAGGAUGC